rnacentral:lncRNA from 1 species
GACUGGGCUUUGCUCCAUGCCAUAUCCUGCCUUAACUUCUUCAUCUCCAGAUUAACAGAAUGGGAAAACACCAUUGAAAAGGAGAUCAUGAUGGAUAUGAACAGUAGCGAGAGAAGCAAUGAACCAGAAGUUCUUCAGGAAUCUGCAAGUCAAAAAACAGAAACCCAAAACCUUGAUCAUGUCGAAACUAAGGAAGGUAUGCGUCCGAAAUCUGUACCAGCACACUACAACAGAUAUUGAAUUUAGCAGCAUUCACUGUUAUAUUUUAGGGAUUAUGCAACUGUAUCUUAACAGCCCUUAUAUUCUGCAACAGAGGCUGAUACAGCAUAUCUUAAUGUUACAGUUAAAGUAUAGGCAAUAAUUUAUUGCUGCUGCAUAGACCUAUUUUUCUAUUAAUGAUUAGAGACUCUCUUUUUUGCAGUGGCAGGAAGAAGAGAAGGAUUCACAUACAAAGAUGCACUAGAGAAGGAAGUAAAAGUUACAAAAGCUACGUACAAGGAUGCAUUGGAGAAGGGAACUAAGAAAGAAGAAAAUGGGGAAGGAAGAAGCAAGACGAGAGCAGAAAAGAAUAGCAGCGAAGGAAGGACGAUGACAAAGGAGAAGAUAGAAAAGAAGAAGAAGGUAAGAACAGAGGAAGAGAGUGAAGAUAUGGAGGGUGAUGAGAUUUUAGAGACUGAAUCAUCUUGGCUAAUGAAACUAGGAAGAUAUGGUAAACAAAGCUCUUUCUCAUGUUCAGCUUCUUUUAAAUGGUGAAUUAGGAAGCAAUUUUCUGUGGGAAUCUGUGACAAGUUUUUAAAGAAUUGAUCUAAUUAAGGAUUAAUCUUGUUGAUAUUUUUAGGGCAACUUUUCUAUGUAAAAAACUGUUAAAGUAAAAUGAGGAGGUUUCUCAUAGAUUUUAAAUUUUAAUAGUUUUUUAUUGUUUAAAUUUUUUAGAGGUCUUUAAAAGAAAGCUUUUCAAUCCAUCAAUUAGUGGGUUAAAAAAAUUAUUAGAAUUUUUAAAAAUUUUAUUUUAAACAAUUUUACUGGAAUAAAAAUUUUAAAAUCUUAAAAAAUCUUUCACCUCCGUCCCUCGGGACCAAUAAGGGUAGUUCAGAAAUAUUCACAUGUGUAUCGAUUACGCCUUUCGGCCUGAUCUUAGGCCCUAACUCACUCUCCGUGGACGAACCUUGCGGAGGAACUCUUAUGUUUUCGGAACAUUAGAUUCUCAUAAUGUUUGCAUUAUUCAAAUCGACAUUCUCGCUUCCGCUUCGUCCACCCCUACUCGCGCGGGUGCUUCCCUCUAAGGCGGAACGCUCCCCUACCGAACAUCAAAAAUUAGAAAUUAAUUUAAAUUUCAAAAGAUUAAAUGAUUAUUAAAAAUUUUAUUUAUUAAAUUUUUUAUUAUUACAUAUUUAAUAUUUAAAUCUAAUAUUAAAUUUGACCAUAAUAAUUUUAUUAUAUUAUUUUAAAAUUUUUAUAACGAUUUACUACUGUCAUUUUUUUCGCUAUAAAUAAUCUUCAAAAACACUCCUAUUUUUCUAUUUUAUUUUUUUACUUUAUUUUUUAUAAAGAUAAAUUUUUAUUAUUCUAAUUCUAUAAAUUAAAUUCUAAAAAAUCUAUUUAAUUAUGAAAUUAUACAAUAUUCAACGCAAUUCAAAUUUUAUUAUUUUAUCAUAUGUUUUGAACCGCAUAUCUCUCACUAACAUAAAGAAAUUCCAAUGUAAAUAUGGUAUAUCACCAAUGCUAUAUAUGUAUAUAUUUCCUUUUCUAUAAUAUAUUGAGGUAUGUGUUUGGGGUUCUUUGGACAUUUUGGCAAUGAUGGGUUGGCGUUUCUUGGAGAAUGAGGUAGAAAUUUUGCAGUAAGCACUUCAAAUCAUAAAAUGGGUUGAAAUUUGGCGUGGAUAUUACGUAAAAGUUGCAUGAUUGAUUAGUUGGAUUCAACGCAAUAUGAAAAAUGCAUACAAAUUUCCCACAAAAGCAAACCCUCUUCUCCACACCCAAAUGGACGUUUCUUAAAAAACACUAUUUUAGUGCUCCAAUAAUAAUUUUUCAAAAACUACAAUUUAUUAUCAUAUAGCCAUUGAACUAAGACAAAAAAAAAAACAAACUUGCUUGUCGCUUUUAGACAUUGGCCCCAUCACUUGCCUCUUUAAAGAACUCCCUCGCCUGCCUACAGGGCAGAACCAGAAGCUUUAGAUGAAGACAGUGAUUAAUGAUGUUAAGUUUUUAUUAAAAGCAAUAUAUAGAUUACUUCUCUUUUCUUUUUAUUUCAGUAAUCCCUUUUAUAAUAGCUUUGUUAACAAUUACUUUUUGAUGAAUUGACCAAGUCUAAUGUAAAAAUAUAAAAAAAAAAGUACCAACAAACAAUAUAAAAUAAAUUAAAUAUAAAAAAUACCUUAAAAACAUUUAACUUUUUUCUUUUAUUAUAGAUCAAACUCAAAACUUCUUAAUUUACAAAUAAAAAAAUCUGAGCUUUAACAACCACAAGCAUAUAACAAUACUUUUUCAUUAUAAAAAAUGACAAUUAAAAUUUCAUAAAUGUGUAAUCACAAAACAAUAACACAAACAAACAUACAUAUAUAUAUUAUAAUAUUUUAAAAAAAUUAUUACUUAGUUCCAUAAUAAAUUAAUUGGUCUCUCGAUUUUAAAAAAUAUAUUCAAACGUUUUUUAUAUUUUAAAAUGCCUACUAAUUAAUCCUUCCACUAACUUUUUUCGUUAAAUAUUUUACUAUUUAAUCUCUAUAAUUUUAAAAAUUUUUAUUAAUUAAUAAAAUGAAUAACUAAUAAAUUUUUUAAAAUAUUUUAAUAUAUUUUUUAAAAUAAAAAAAUCAAUUAAUAAAUUCUUUUAGAAACUAAGUAAUAAUUUUCUCAAAUAUUUUUAAAAGAAUACUUGCAUGCAGGUGCAAAUUGUUGCAAGCAUUUUCCACAACAGAGACACCGAGAAAAUCAAGUUAAUCGCGUUACUUGUCGUCUGGGCUAUCAUAAGUCAACCAAUACAAAAAUUAAAAAAAAAUGUUCAUCCAAGAAAAUUCUGUGGAUUCAAAUUCAAUUCCGAGUUAAAUUAACAAAUCUUUUAUUUGGUGAAAGAUUACGAAUUACCAAAGCUUCCACACUCACGUCCUUUUAUUUAAUUACGAAUUAAAGGAUCUUUUAUUGGGCACAUUAUCAGGUGGUCUAGGUGCACCACUUUAUCCUACUGUGAUACAAUAUUAAAUUAAUAAUAUAAUAAUACGUAACUAAAAAAUUUAAAAUUUAAUAAAUUUAAAAUAAUUUAUAAUAUAAUCUUUACAAUUUAAUCGAGUUCAAUUGCAAGAUUAUGGAAUGGGUCAAGUUAUUUGCCAAGAAAGCUCCACCUACUCUGCUAAGAAUUGAUCAGAAAGAUUUGACCCCAGACACUGACCUCGUAAGCUUUCUAAGAGACUCGUUAGAAAUUUCAUACCUUUAUGCUCUGAUUGUUUCUUGGCUUGAAGAUUGAAGAAGAAGCUUUACUCAGUUCCUUUUUGCUUAUUCUAUAAAUCCCCAUUUCUGCUGUUCCAAUUGCAAAACGUACAGAGAAACAUACAUCUAUUCAUCCAUCCCAAGAAC